GGUUAAGCGACUAAGCGUACACGGUGGAUGCCCUGGCAGUCAGAGGCGAUGAAGGACGUGCUAAUCUGCGAAAAGCGUCGGUAAGGUGAUAUGAACCGUUAUAACCGGCGAUGUCCGAAUGGGGAAACCCAGUGUGAUUCGUCACACUAUCGUUAACUGAAUACAUAGGUUAACGAGGCGAACCGGGGGAACUGAAACAUCUAAGUACCCCGAGGAAAAGAAAUCAACCGAGAUUCCCCCAGUAGCGGCGAGCGAACGGGGAGCAGCCCAGAGUCUGAAUCAGCUUGUGUGUUAGUGGAACGGUCUGGAAAGUCCGACGGUACAGGGUGAUAGUCCCGUACACCAAAAUGCACAGGCUGUGAACUCGAAGAGUAGGGCGGGACACGUGGUAUCCUGUCUGAAUAUGGGGGGACCAUCCUCCAAGGCUAAAUACUCCUGACUGACCGAUAGUGAACCAGUACCGUGAGGGAAAGGCGAAAAGAACCCCGGCGAGGGGAGUGAAAAAGAACCUGAAACCGUGUACGUACAAGCAGUGGGAGCACCUUCGGGUGUGACUGCGUACCUUUUGUAUAAUGGGUCAGCGACUUAUAUUCUGUAGCAAGGUUAACCGUAUAGGGGAGCCGCAGGGAAACCGAGUCUUAACUGGGCGUUAAGUUGCAGGGUAUAGACCCGAAACCCGGUGAUCUAGCCAUGGGCAGGUUGAAGGUUGGGUAACACUAACUGGAGGACCGAACCGACUAAUGUUGAAAAAUUAGCGGAUGACUUGUGGCUGGGGGUGAAAGGCCAAUCAAACCGGGAGAUAGCUGGUUCUCCCCGAAAGCUAUUUAGGUAGCGCCUCGUGAACUCAUCUUCGGGGGUAGAGCACUGUUUCGGCUAGGGGGUCAUCCCGACUUACCAACCCGAUGCAAACUACGAAUACCGAAGAAUGUUAUCACGGGAGACACACGGCGGGUGCUAACGUCCGUCGUGAAGAGGGAAACAACCCAGACCGCCAGCUAAGGUCCCAAAGUCAUGGUUAAGUGGGAAACGAUGUGGGAAGGCACAGACAGCCAGGAUGUUGGCUUAGAAGCAGCCAUCAUUUAAAGAAAGCGUAAUAGCUCACUGGUCGAGUCGGCCUGCGCGGAAGAUGUAACGGGGCUAAACCAUGCACCGAAGCUGCGGCAGCGACACUAUGUGUUGUUGGGUAGGGGAGCGUUCUGUAAGCCUGCGAAGGUGACCUGUGAGGGUUGCUGGAGGUAUCAGAAGUGCGAAUGCUGACAUAAGUAACGAUAAAGCGGGUGAAAAGCCCGCUCGCCGGAAGACCAAGGGUUCCUGUCCAACGUUAAUCGGGGCAGGGUGAGUCGACCCCUAAGGCGAGGCCGAAAGGCGUAGUCGAUGGGAAACAGGUUAAUAUUCCUGUACUUGGUGUUACUGCGAAGGGGGGACGGAGAAGGCUAUGUUAGCCGGGCGACGGUUGUCCCGGUUUAAGCAUGUAGGCUGGUUAUCCAGGCAAAUCCGGAUAAUCAAGGCUGAGGUGUGAUGACGAGGCACUACGGUGCUGAAGUAACAAAUGCCCUGCUUCCAGGAAAAGCCUCUAAGCAUCAGGUAACAUCAAAUCGUACCCCAAACCGACACAGGUGGUCAGGUAGAGAAUACCAAGGCGCUUGAGAGAACUCGGGUGAAGGAACUAGGCAAAAUGGUGCCGUAACUUCGGGAGAAGGCACGCUGGUGUGUAGGUGAAGUCCCUGCGGAUGGAGCUGAGACCAGUCGAAGAUACCAGCUGGCUGCAACUGUUUAUUAAAAACACAGCACUGUGCAAACACGAAAGUGGACGUAUACGGUGUGACGCCUGCCCGGUGCCGGAAGGUUAAUUGAUGGGGUUAUCCGUAAGGAGAAGCUCUUGAUCGAAGCCCCGGUAAACGGCGGCCGUAACUAUAACGGUCCUAAGGUAGCGAAAUUCCUUGUCGGGUAAGUUCCGACCUGCACGAAUGGCGUAAUGAUGGCCAGGCUGUCUCCACCCGAGACUCAGUGAAAUUGAACUCGCUGUGAAGAUGCAGUGUACCCGCGGCAAGACGGAAAGACCCCGUGAACCUUUACUAUAGCUUGACACUGAACAUUGAGCCUUGAUGUGUAGGAUAGGUGGGAGGCUUUGAAGCGUGGACGCCAGUCUGCGUGGAGCCAACCUUGAAAUACCACCCUUUAAUGUUUGAUGUUCUAACGUUGGCCCCUGACCGGGGUUGCGGACAGUGUCUGGUGGGUAGUUUGACUGGGGCGGUCUCCUCCCAAAGCGUAACGGAGGAGCACGAAGGUUAGCUAAUCCUGGUCGGACAUCAGGAGGUUAGUGCAAUGGCAUAAGCUAGCUUGACUGCGAGCGUGACGGCGCGAGCAGGUGCGAAAGCAGGUCAUAGUGAUCCGGUGGUUCUGAAUGGAAGGGCCAUCGCUCAACGGAUAAAAGGUACUCCGGGGAUAACAGGCUGAUACCGCCCAAGAGUUCAUAUCGACGGCGGUGUUUGGCACCUCGAUGUCGGCUCAUCACAUCCUGGGGCUGAAGUAGGUCCCAAGGGUAUGGCUGUUCGCCAUUUAAAGUGGUACGCGAGCUGGGUUUAGAACGUCGUGAGACAGUUCGGUCCCUAUCUGCCGUGGGCGCUGGAGAAUUGAGGGGGGCUGCUCCUAGUACGAGAGGACCGGAGUGGACGCAUCACUGGUGUUCGGGUUGUCAUGCCAAUGGCACUGCCCGGUAGCUAAAUGCGGAAGAGAUAAGUGCUGAAAGCAUCUAAGCACGAAACUUGCCCCGAGAUGAGUUCUCCCUGAGACUUUAAGUCUCCUGAAGGAACGUUGAAGACGACGACGUUGAUAGGCCGGGUGUGUAAGCGCAGCGAUGCGUUGAGCUAACCGGUACUAAUGAACCGUGAGGCUUAACCUU
rnacentral:rRNA from 2 species